rnacentral:rRNA from 1 species
GGAAUAUUGGUCAAUGGACGGAAGUCUGAACCAGCCAUGCCGCGUGGAGGAAGAAGGUCCUAUGGGUUGUAAACUCCUUUUGUUCCAGAGUAAUAAGGGGCAUGCGUGCUCCGAUGAGAGUAUGGGACGAAUAAGCAUCGGCUAACUCCGUGCCAGCAGCCGCGGUAAUACGGAGGAUGCAAGCGUUAUCCGGAUUUAUUGGGUUUAAAGGGUGCGCAGGCGGCGCGUUAAGUCAGCGGUGAAAUCUCAUGGCUCAACCAUGGAACUGCCGUUGAUACUGGCGUGCUGGAGUACGUACGGCGCCGGCGGAAUGUGUCAUGUAGCGGUGAAAUGCUUAGAUAUGCCACAGAACACCGAUCGCGAAGGCAGCUGGCGAGGCCGGUACUGACGCUCAGGCACGAAAGCGUGGGGAUCAAACA